UGCCGGCGACCGGCGCACGGGUGCGUAACGCGUAUCAAACCUGCCUCGUACUCGGGGAUAGCCUUGCGAAAGUAAGAUUAAUACCCGAUGUUGUUGCUUUCUCGCAUGGGGGAGUAACCAAAGAUUUAUCGGUAUGAGAUGGUGAUGCGUCCGAUUAGGUAGUAGGCGGGGUAACGGCCCACCUAGCCUUCGAUCGGUAGGGGUUCUGAGAGGAAGGUCCCCCACACUGGAACUGAGACACUGUCCAG
rnacentral:rRNA from 1 species